rnacentral:tRNA from 1 species
GGCUCCAUAGCUCAGUGGAUAAAGCGCUAGUCUACGAAACCAGAAGUUGCGAGUUUGAUCCUUGCUGGAGCCU